GACGAACGCUGGCGGUGUGCCUCAUACAUGCAAGUCGAACGAUAAGGUUCCUUCGGGAAUACAUAAGUGGCGGACGGGUGAGUACAACAUAGGAAAUCUGCCCUAAACUGGGGGACAACAGAGGGAAACUCCUGCUAAUACCCCAUACGAGCUUAGUUGAAAUACUAAUCUUGAAAGCUCCGGCGGUUUAGGAUGAGCCUGUGCCUGAUUAGCUGGUUGGUGGUGUAAUGGACUACCAAGGCGACGAUCAGUAGCUGGUUUGAGAGGAUGAUCAGCCACAAUGGGACUGAGACACGGCCCAU
rnacentral:rRNA from 1 species